rnacentral:rRNA from 1 species
GUCUUAUUGAAUUUAAAAUAAUAAGUUUGUUCUGCCCAUUGAAUUAAAUAUUUUAAAAGGCUGCAGUAAUUUAACUGUACAAAGGUAGCAUAAUCAAUAGUUUUUUAAUUGAAAACUUGAAUGAAAGAAUUGAUAAAAUAUUAGUUGUCUCAAAUUUAAAUAAUUGAAUUUAUAUUUAAAGUUAAAAUUCUUUAAUUAAUUUAUUAGACGAUAAGACCCUAAGAAUUUUAUAAUUUAUUUAUUAUUUAUUAAAUUAGUUUAAUUUAAAAUUUAUAAUUUAAUUAUUUUAUUGGGAGGGUAAUUAAAAAUUUAAACUUUAAUUAAAUUUAAACUUUGAUAAAUGAGUUUAAUGAUUAUUAUUAUAGUUAUUAGAAUAAAUUACCUUAGGGAUAACAGCGUAAUAAUUUUGGAAAGUUCAUAUUGAUAAAAUUGGUUGCGACCUCGAUGUUGAAUUAAAAUAAAAAUUAAAUGGAGAAGUUUAAGGUUUUAUUCUGUUCGACUAUUAAAAUUUUACAU